CAGCAGCCGCGGUAAGACAGAGGAUGCAAGCGUUAUCCGGAAUUAUUGGGCGUAAAGGGCUCGCAGGCGGUUUCUUAAGUCUGAUGUGAAAGCUCCCGGCUCAACCGGGGAGGGUCAUUGGAAACUGGGAAACUUGAGUGCAGAAGAGGAGAGUGGAAUUCCACGUGUAGCGGUGAAAUGCGUAGAGAUGUGGAGGAACACCAGUGGCGAAGGCGACUCUCUGGUCUGUAACUGACGCUGAGGAGCGAAAGCGUGGGGAGCGAACAGGAUUAGAUACCCCUGUAGUCCCUGUCUCUUAUAA
rnacentral:rRNA from 1 species